rnacentral:misc_RNA from 1 species
AGGUUAGGUUAGGUUAGGUUAGGUUUGUUUUUUUUUUUUUUUUUUUUUUUUUUUUUUUUUUUUUUUUUUUUUUUUUUUUUUUUUUUUUUUUUUUUUUUUUUUUUUUUUUUUUAUUAUCGUUGCCAUUUUCUUUCGCAACGCUUGUGCCAGUAAUUUUUUGAUUCAACAAUAGUAAUAUGACAAUAAUAUAAUAAUUUUCUAAUAAUAGUAUA